UGCCGCCCCCGGGCGCAGGUCCGGCUGGGGAGCGGAACGGCAUGGGAGGGCCGGCCGCAGCGGGUGACAGCCCCGUACGCGAACCCAGACCGGACGGCGCGACGCGGUCCCUGAGUAGGGCCGGGCACGUGAAACCCGGUCCGAACCUGGGUGGACCACCAUCCAAGCCUGAGUACUACCCUGUGACCGAUAGCGCACCAGUACCGUGAGGGAAAGGUGAAAAGCACCCCGGGAGGGGAGUGAAACAGUACCUGAAACCGUGCGCCCACGAGCAGUCGGAGCAACUUUCAGUUGUGACGGCGUGCCUUUUGUAGAAUGAGCCAGCGAGUCGCUGGCGCGGGGCGAGGUUAACCGAAAGGGAGCCGGAGCGAAAGCGAGCCUUAACAGGGCGACUUGAGUCCCGCGCCGCGGACGCGAAGCCGGGUGAGCUAUCCGUGGGCAGGCUGAAGCGGGGGUAAGACCCCGUGGAGGGCCGAACGCACGUCGGUUGAAAACGGCGGCGAUGACCUGCGGAUAGGGGUGAAAGGCCAAUCAAACCCGGAGAUAUCUCGUUCUCCCCGAAAUAGCUUUAGGGCUAGCGUCGCGCGUUCACCGCCGGAGGUAGAGCACCGGAUGGACGAGGGGGCUUCGCCGCCUACCGAAUCCAACCGAACUCCGAAUGCCGGCGGCCCAGAGCGCGGCAGUCAGAGCAUGUGGGCUAAGCUGUGUGCUCGAGAGGGAAACAGCCCGGACCGCCCGCUAAGGUCCCCAAGUUCCAGCCGAGUGGCAAAGGAUGUGCGUCCGCCCAGACAACCAGGAUGUUGGCUUAGAAGCAGCCAUCCAUUCAAAGAGUGCGUAACAGCUCACUGGUCGAGUGGACAUGCGCCGACAAUACACGGGGCUAAGCUGGACACCGAAGCGGCGGGAUUUUAAUUCAUUAGAAUCGGUAGGGGAGCUUCCCAUGGGCGGAGAAGCCGGAGGGCGACCGACGGUGGAGCGCAUGGGAGUGAGAAUGCUGGCAUGAGUAGCGAGAGACGAGAGAGUAACUCGUCCGCCGUGAACCCGAGGUUUCCUGGGCAAGGCUAAUCCUCCCAGGGUCAGUCGGGGGCUAAGGCGAGGCCGGUAGGCGUAGCCGACGCGCAGCAGGCAGACAUUCCUGCACCGCGCACGCGGCGCUACGACCGACGGGGCGACGGAUGGGGGUGGCUCGGCGGGGUUCUGGACGUCCCCGUGAUGGAGCGCGGCCCGCGGACCAGGGAAAUCCGGUCCGCAUCAAGGGCGAGGCUCCGGACGAAGCGACUGAGCGAAGCGAGUGAGCCCGAGGUCCCUAGAAAAACCCCUAGGCAGGCGCGUGCGCGCCCGUACCGCAAACCGACACAGGUGGGUGGGUAGAACAUACCGAGGCGAUCGGGUCAACCAUGGUCAAGGAACUCGGCACAAUGGCCCCGUAACUUCGGGAGAAGGGGUGCCCGCGCGUACGUGAACCGGCUUGCCCGGGGAGCGGAGGCGGGCCGCAGUGGAGAGGCCCAAGCGACUGUUUACCAAAAACACAGGACUCUGCAGAAGCCGCAAGGCGACGUAUAGGGUCUGACGCCUGCCCGGUGCCGGAAGGUCACGCGGAGGAGUUAGCUUUCGAGCGAAGCCCCGAAGCCAAGCCCCGGUAAACGGCGGCCGUAACUAUAACGGUCCUAAGGUAGCGAAAUUCCUUGUCGGGUAAGUUCCGACCUGCACGAAAGGCGCAACGACUUGGGCGCUGUCUCGACCAUGGACCCGGUGAAAUUGCACUGGUCGUGAAGAUGCGACUUACCCGCGGAAGGACGGAAAGACCCCGUGAACCUUCACUGCAGCUUGGCAUUGGCCGCUGGUCCCGCGUGUAGAGGAUAGGCAGGAGGCGAAGAUCCGGAGGCGCCAGCCCCCGGGGAGCCGCCCUUGGAAUACUGCCCUCGCGCGACCGGCGUCCUAACCCGAGGCCGUCAACCGGCUCGGGGACCGUGCCAGGCGGGCAGUUUGACUGGGGCGGUCGCCUCCUAAAGGGUAACGGAGGCGCGCGAAGGUCCGCUCGGGACGGUCGGCAACCGUCCUUUUGAAUGCAAGAGUACAAGCGGGCUUGACUGCGAGGCCCACAAGCCGAGCAGGUGCGAAAGCAGGCUCUAGUGAUCCGGCGGCCCCGAGUGGGUGGGCCGUCGCUCAACGGAUAAAAGGUACUCCGGGGAUAACAGGCUGAUCUUGCCCAAGAGUCCACAUCGACGGCAAGGUUUGGCACCUCGAUGUCGGCUCAUCGCAUCCUGGGGCU
rnacentral:rRNA from 1 species